CGGUCGUUGGCUACGGUGACUACCAACGACCAGCAGCUAGUGAGCUCUAACCUCAUCCUAGGCUGGCGACGUUGAGCCUUGUCUGAUUUGGCAAAGUCAAGCUCGCUUAAGGCCGCCAAGCUCGGGCCUCGCCACAUCAGGCGAGCUAGGGAGGGCUCGAGCCUCGCUCGAGGUCACCAGAGGUCGACGAGGGCGAACUCGAGCAAGGCUCGAGCCCCACCUAGCUUGCCGGAUCUGAUGUGGCUCGAGCUUGCCGGCCUCGGGCAUUGCUUGAUCAGGCAAGGUUUGACCUUGUCAGAAUCUUAUGAGCUCAAGCCUCACCGGCCUAGGGGGAGGUCGGAGCUAGCAAUGGCAGGUUGCUGGCCGCCCAUUGCCAUAGCCGAUGAUUAGCCAAGGCCAAAGAAGAAGAAGAAAAGAAUAAAGAAAAGAAAAGAAAAGAAGGCCCAGGAAGAAGGAAAAAAACAAAACAAAAAAAUUAAAAAUUAAAAAAUUGAUUUUAAAAAAUAAAAUAAUAAAAUUAUUGAAAAUGAGUGCAUGUAGGAAAAGAUCCUCCUUAUUGAACGGCAUAAAAUAUUUUCUAGUUCAUUUUCAAAAUUCAGCCAAGCAUCCUGAAAAUAUGGUUAUUUUCCUGAAAAAUGGCUUAUUGGAAAAUGAUUUCUAGAAACGUUACAAUUUUCACGAAAUGAAUGGAGCCUUAGAGUAUUAAGAUUGACUUAGGGAAAAUUGUUCAAAAUGUCCUAAAUUUAUUGCGCUUUGACCAAUUUCGACUUAAAACUUUUAAUUUUGCCAAUUGAGUUCUAUACUUUUUUACUUUUGUCAACUGAGUCUGUAUGGUUAAUUUUGCCCGAAAAUUACUAACGUAGAUUUGGCAAUACCACAUAGGAUGGUGAGCGCUGAUAUGAGCAAUUUUCAAUAAUAUUUUCAUAUAAUUUUUUGAGUUCUUUAAAUUAUUUUAUGAUUUUUUUUUCCUUUUCUUCUCCCUUUUGCUUGUGACCGGAUUGCCUUGCCUAGUCGGUCCUUGUUGAUGGCUAUGGAGGCUAGCCAACCCAGCCAUGGCUAGCGGCCGGCCACCGGCAAGAGGAAAAAGUAGAAGAAAGGAAAACAAAAAUAAAGAAAACUUAAAAAUUAAUAAUUAAUAAAGAAAUUUAAGAAAUGUUAAAAUAUUAUUAAUAAUUAUCUAUGUCAGUAUUGGCAGUGCUAAGUGGCACUACCGGUACUCAGCUUAGCUAUUUCCGACCAAAAUUGAUGGACGGACUCAAUUGGCAAAGAGUGAAAAGAUUUAAAAUUUAAUUAACAAAAUUGAAAAAUUUAAGACUGAAUUGACAUAAAUAUUAUAGGUUUAGCUUUUUUUUGGACAAUAUUCCUGAUCAACUUACGUAACCCAAUUUAUCAAACCAUGUAAUAAACUUUACUGAUUAACUAAUUAUCUUACUAUUUGACAAAAAAAAAUAAUUAUCUUACUAAAUCAUUAUCGCAUUGUUGAUUGUUUAACCAUACGUUCUUUCAACACAAGUUGGUGAUCAUGAAUCAUAAGAAAACUAGCAGUGUUCCCCAGCGCGUUGCUGUAUCAAGUUUCAGAAUAAUUACUAAAUUACUCAUUAAAACUUCAGGGUCCUCAUGUUGCAUUUGGUUGGGCUCUUAAGGAAAACCUUUGGGAAAAUGCAAAGAUGGCUGGUUAAAUGGUAUUCUUUGAAAUACAAAUAGUGUUUGGUCAAGUGUAAUUUAAAAGUACACUAAGAAACAAUUUUGGUUCAAAUGGUAUUUGAGAAAAAUCACACAAACAACAUAAAAUUGAACACAGACAUUUCAUCAGAUGUUGGCAAAGAGUUUAGGCCAUCGGCGAGCCAGGAUUAGCACCAGCUGUUAUUGCCUUCGGUGACCCUUGGCAAGGGUUCAUCAGCGGUUAGUUAUGGCAUCACCGGUAACAUCAAGCAAUGGAAGAGAGUGAGGACAUCUUCGGAAUUUUGAAAGAAAAUUUUGGCCAAAAUUGGAAGAAAAAAGUGCAUCAGCAUUCCAAAAAUACCAAAGCUCAAAGCUCCUACAGAUUUUCCUAGGGUUAAGGGACUCAGAGGGCUUUGGAGAUGCAAUUGGGUCUCCCCAAAGCUCUCUAAAAAUAUUGCCAUAUAGUACCUGCAUUUGCCCAAGGGCCUUUAAACCCCCAUGAAGGCCUUUGGCAACUGACCCCUAUCAUCCGGCGCUCCAGCAAUGUAAACGAUUGGAAGGAUCUGUCUGGUGCUUUAUUUCUUAUGCCGAAUGUAACAAUUUAAUAAAGCUUUUCACAGGAAAAUUUACUGGUUUUAUUGGUAAAUGAUUAUAGGUGUAGAUCAUACAAAUCCGUGCGAUGCAUGUGUAUGGCAGUAGUUUUCUGGAUGAAAUCAUAUAGGCAUGUCUGGAUGUCAAGAUCCAUGUAUUGCUUGCUCCUUUAGAUAUUUUCCUUGCCAAGGGAAUGCCUUUUUCUCAUAAAGUAAAGUUUCUCGUACUGAGUGUAUCAGGUUCCCGAUCCGAAGAGGCAGUGAAGGAGUUUCCGCCCUUACUAGUUAAAGACAUCCCGGCAGUCGAUCCACAGAAACCGGAGGUAAUGUUCCGAAUUUUGGAUAACCUGAUCGCAGUAAUCAAGGACUCUUCUGGGGUCAUCAUCAACACAUUCGAAGAGCUUGAGCACUCUGAUCUCGCGUCGCUCCGGGAAGUUUUGUCAGUUCCUUUUUUUCCGAUCGGUCCAUCUCACAGAUUCUGCGUGACAUCUCCUUCGAGCAGCUCACAAGCAGAGGACACGGACUGCAUCUCCUGGCUAGACAAACAGCCGCCCAAGUCUGUGAUCUACGUGAGCUUUGGGAGCCUCGCGGCCAUGAGCGAGGCAGAAAUGUUGGAGAUUGCGUUAGGCCUAGCUGACUCGGAGCAGCCCUUUUUAUGGGUGGUCCGGCCCAGGUCAGUCCGCGAUCCGGAGUGGCUAGAGAAGUCGCCGAGCCACUUUCUCAAGGCAUUGGAAGGGAGAGGGAAGAUAGUGAAAUGGGCACCCCAGAAGGAAGUGUUGGCUCAUCCUGCUGUCGGAGCAUUUUGGACCCACAGCGGUUGGAACUCAACUUUGGAAAGCAUAAGUGAAGGAGUGCCAAUGUUGUGCAUGCCUCGUUUUGCUGAUCAAGGAGUGAAUGCAAGGUAUGUGAGCGAUGUUUGGAGAAUUGGAGUGCACUUGAAUGGCGGGCUUGAGAGAGAGAACAUUGCAAGGUCCAUCAAGAGGCUGCUGGCGGAGAGAGAAGGAGCAGAAAUAAGAGAGAGGGCAUUGGUUUUGAAGGAGAAGGCCAGUAUCUCCGUGCGACAAGGCGGCCCUUCAUACCAAGCCUUGGAUGCUUUGAUCAGUCACAUAUUGUCUUUUAAAUGAUCAUGCUGUCGGAGCUCAAUCGUGGUCGGUUUCAAUGCACGGAUGAAUAAUAAAUGUGUAUCUUUGCAGAAGAUUAACACUCAAGUCAUUUAUGUCAGUUUAAUUAAAUAAAUUAGCAUGCUACUUUUCUCAACUAUACAUGUUUAACGAGACACAUUUAAAUAACCUCUAAACAUUAUACUAGAUAUUAUUUCUUAAAUGUGUUAUAUUUCGUUAAUUUGGUUAGUAAAGGUGUUGUUUUGGGGCUUAAACAAUAUCAUCUUUGAUGUCAUAUUACAUUAUAAAUGCAGCACCUUUUAUUAUGAAGUACGGUGAAUUGCUAAACCUUUUCUAGGGAGUAAUCGAGAAUUUUCUUUUUAAAAAUUGUAAUGAAUUCCAUCUGGUGAUCAAAUUUUCAAUUUUUGAUAAAAUAUUGAGAAACCCAAUGUAUACUAGACUCGAUAUGAACCGCUAGGAUCGAUACAAGUUGCAUGAGAACCGUGUUAGAUACUCCAAAUUAAAUUCAACAUAUAUGCUCCACUCAUAUAAAAAUUUAUUAGAUCUCUCAUAUGUGGCUACUUAUGGGACCGCCACAUGGGUAGGUUCCGGUGGAAGAAGUUAAUCGCAACUUUUUAUAAAUAAUAAUAAUAAUAAUAAUAAUAAUAAUAAUAAUAAUAAUAAUAAUAAUAAUAAUAAUAAUAAUAAUAAUAAUAAUAAUAAUAAUAAUAAUAAUAAUAAUAAUAAUAAACAGAGAGAGAGAGAGAGAGAGAGAGAGAGAACUUGAGACUUAUUGCAUCAUCCAAUGUUUAAAACUUAAUAGCAUGUCAUACACUAAUUCACUAUUAUUAGGAAGUUCUUCACAAACUAUUUAGUCUAUUUUAUCAAUCCAUACUUAGCAUUACUUGUCUCCCUUUGCAUUUACCAUGAUCCACAUUCCACAAUGAAUUUCGGAUACUGUUAAAAAUACAAAUAUAAGUAUAAUGAGUAAUUUGUUUAAAUGCACAAUUAUAAAAUUGAUUAUGUCACUUUGUGAAUUGUAGGGCUAAUAUCCCCUAAAGGUUAUAAUUCCUUUGUCUAAAUGAUUGUGACGGGUCAGCCAACGACAUGAGAUUUUGAUCUGAUGUUGCAGAGUGUUAGUAAUAUGAAACUCUCUUAGAUCUUUCUUCUAUCUUCAUGUUCAACAUUUAAAUUGUUCUCCCAUUUGGUGCCUCGUUGAUCUCAGCCUUUGAUCCAUGUAAAGAAGGGUGAGGGAUGAAUUCGGAACUUAUUACGCAAUACAUCAAGAUUAAGGAUGACUGAGGCACCAAAUGGAAGAACAAAUUAUAGGGUUGACGAUCUACAUUCGACUUACUAUAAAUUUUUCUAUAAUCUACUUAAUUUGAUUCAACUAGUAAUUAUUGUUUACUAUAAUCUGUAAAUUUUUUAUAUUUUUUUUUGUCAAAAGAAAUUUCCAUUCAUUACAAAAAUGAUACAUGAUUGGAAAUUUCAAAAGUCAUAAUAACAAGACAAACUCAUAGAGCUCCAAAGCAAACAAAAACUAGCAAUCAAGAUGUAUCAAUAGAGCAUGGUUGGUAGAGUUAAUUAGGGGCUCGUCCUUCAAGAAUAUAUCAAUGAUUAUAUCUAAGCGAAAGAAUCAACGGCCGAUCAUGGAAUCACAUAACAUCAUCAAUGAAAAGCACAUGCCGAAAUCUCUAUUUAUAAGUAUGGUUUUACCUUUUAGCAGCGUAUGGCUAGGUUCGGUGUCCCCAACACUAUCACCAUAUAAAGACAAUAUAAACAUGUUUAAGAAGCUCAAAUCUAACACCAAUGAGAUCGAGCAUUGUAGCUUAUGUCAAGCACCAAAGUUUUGAAUUAAAACAUGUUGAAUGAACACAUAUUUGAUACCGAAAUUGUUAUGAACAUCAUUAAAAGUAGAGGCGGAAUACUUAUUCAUUAAACUCUAAAAUCUAAAAUUAGAUUGGAGAGAAAAACUCCUAUAUAUAAAAUCAGGAUAGUAUAAAAAGAAGCCACCAAGAGGGGAGGGAGAGAUGUAGGUAAAAUCUCUUCCCUCCAAAAGUGGAACAGACAAAGAAAAGUUGAGAGAGGGUGAGAGGAGAAAAUAUCGGGUGAUCCGGGACUCCCAAUCAACGUGGUUCCGACCCACUCAAAAUGCAACAUGUGGAGCCAACGUGGUUCCAAGUCAACCCUCGAAUUUUUGCACCCAAAAAAAAAAAAAAUUCUUUCUUUGUCAGCUAGGCUGCAUACACUAGCCCUCUCUCCACUCUCUCCCUCUCUCGUGCCACAUACCCUCUCCCCUGCUCGCUCUCCCCGACGCGCCCGCAGCGCCCUCCUUCACAUGAAGGGCUUAUUGAAUGCUUUGGAUCUCAGGAGUGAAUAAAAAAGGAUGCCAUCAUUGGUGUGACAUCCAAGACGGUUUUACCAAAAUCGAGCCAUCUUGGACCUUGAAUAGAAAGUAUAAUCAAAUUUCAUUCUCCCAAGUCUCAACCUCGUCCCCAAGCUAGUACAUGCUCCCGAAGAACUUCGAGAACCCGUAGCUCUUGUCGAGGGCGAUCGCAUGCCCCUCGGCCUCGGCCUCGGCCUCUGUCUCUGCCUCUGCCUCUGCCUCUGCCUGACUCCCUUUCAGGAUCCCUGCCCCGUUCGGCUUUACCAUCCCGUGUCACUGCACGAGGGGCAGUCUUAAUGUGCUUCGUCGGUGAUGACGGGACGGUCGCUUCACGAACGCCAAGUAACGCUGCUGCACGAGUGGCAAAAUCUGGCAAAGAUUCAAAAUUCGGAAGUGGGUUUGCGUUUCUUCUUCCUUCUUCAAAGAAGGAGAAAAUAUAAGAGGAAGAAAUAAAUGUUUGCAGAGCAGAAGGGAGAGAGCACAGAGCGGGCGCAGGGCUAGUGUCAGGUUAUUGAGAUAAAGAAAAUCAUUUUUUGUGCAAAGAUUCGUUCGCUGGCAAGCCGGCCUUACAACUCCACAUGUGGCUUUUUGAGUGGCUCGGAACCACAUUGCCAUGGACUCCCCGGACCACCCAAUAUUUUCUUGAAGGUGAGAGGCAAGAAGAAACAACUCAAAAUUGCAUAAUCCACAAUAAUGAUGACCUUUUUUAAUUAUAUUUAUUAAUAUAUACAUUCUUUGAAAUCCAUUUAUUUGAUUUGUUUGAUAAUUAACUCCAUCGAUUGAGCUCAACCUUUCUAUCAUCCUUUGAGGGACCGAAUCUAAAUUAAUUACGUAUAAACUAAAUAAUGUUACUGCACCCAUGCGGUCUUCUCCUUGGUGUGUGUAGAGAUUCAGUCGGACUGCUUUUUGCUGUUCCUUGUGCUUUGUUGUUGCAUAGUCUAGCUUUGCUAUUUGUAUUGCCCUUCGUGGCUUCUCCUCGGCUCUCUUCCACUCUUCCUGUAUUUUCAGCUAGAGUGUAAGUUUUUGGCGCCGUUUUGUGUACAUUUGUCCGGAGCUCAAUAUAAUUUCUUACCUUUACCAAAAAAAAGAAAAAAUGUUACUGCACCCAUGCCUUCUCUAUUAAAUGUCAGAAUGAAUAUGGUGGAGAUCGUAUCGGAUGUAUUUAGUGUUUCAUAAAUUUCUGGUAUGCAAUGUGGUAGCAAGAGAAAAAAGAAGAAGCAUAAAUAUGAAAGGAAGCAAAAUAAAACAAGCAAAAUGAAAUAACCCGAGCCCUCUCGGACAACAUUAAACACGGCUUUGGUAUUAUGUCCUGGGAUAAGAACCUGUGAAUGGUAACGGAAACUUCUAAAGAAAUUCCAAAUAAGUUUGGUAUAAUGCGCCAAUGAUCAAAUUUAAAUAACGCAUACAAAUAUGAAAUGACAUGCAGAAAAUACUACCGAAUUGAGGUACUUUCCUGCAAUGCGCAUCUAUGCAGAGAAAUGAAACAUAGCCUAGGAUAUUCAGGAAAAUUACCCAAUCAAUCUUAAAUAUAUCGUAUAAAUAUCAAUUCAGUUUUAAAGUUUAUAAUUUUAUCAAUCUAGUUUUAAAUCUUUGCGCAAAAUUUUAAUGUAGUCAUUCUAGUUAAUUUUUGCCGAAAAUUGCUUGUAGCAACUAGUCUAUCGUUAGUCACCCUACUGAUACAUUGCCACAUCAAAGUAACAUAAGUCGAUUUGGAAGUUGUGAGAAUAUGGUGCUUUAAAAAUCACCUCUUUUUUCUCACUUUUCACUCACUUCCGCACCACCUCUCCGUGUUCUCUCUUUCGCUUUGUAUGUCCCAAAAAAAAAAAAAAGGCAAACCCUAGAUGUCUCCCUAAUCAGCUUCUAGACUGUUCCUUUUGAUAAAGAAUUUACUAAAAGGGAGAACUGUUCAAGUACAUCAAGAAUAUACAGGAAAAUAAAGGGAGAAACUACAAAGACGCGGCUAAUUCACAAAAAAAUAAAAAAAUUGUAGCAUAAGGCCGACAAACGCUUGAAGUUCGCAAGAAAAGAGUCAGAAGAAGAUUCCAAUCCUUCUAAUAAAUUGUAACAUAGUGGCCAGGUGAAUCCUUAGGAAGUGGGCAUAAAUCAAGACUCUUUUUAAAGAAGAGAGUGCGGUCGGGCCAAGAUUGGGCCGGCCAUGGCCUAGUCAGUGACCGGGUGGCACAAGUCCUCUGUAAGUGCCUUGGUCCGGGCUUGUCCAAGGGCAUUGUCCAUAGCCGCUUAUAUCUAGCAUGCAUCCACAAAACGUAGGGGUAUCAUGGACUUUUUAUUUUACUUUUCACAAUUUUUAGAUGCUGCCAUCCCAUGCACCUGCUCAUGCUACAAAAGUUAAUGUCUGCGUUAAUAUCUGCGUUAAUAUCUGCGAAACCCUCUAGAGGGUUCAACCAUUCAGAAUCGCCGAUCCCUAUAGUCCCUUGAUGUACAUUGCUUGUACCGAAAAUCAAUGCAACCAAGUAAAAUAUUUUUUCAUUACCCGUUUCCAUUCUUGUUCUUUCACAUACAACCCUGAGAAUUGUGCAUGCGUCUUAGCGUUAGGGCAUUAGACGCUUGAGAAGGUUGAUCUACUACUCGCGAUCAGGGAUAGUACACACCACUUGGACUUCAAACUGAGUCAAUCGAUUGGAUCAUGACAUUUGAUAUUAGAGCUCGAGUUAUUGUGAAAGACUUAGAAGUCAUGGUGGACACUCGACUCACUGAAGCUUGGAAACAAGUUGAGAAGUCGGAGACUUAGGUGAAUGAUCUAGAUAGCCUGGGGGCGUCUUUCAGGGAACUCGAAGAGCGGAUUGGUUUAAUUGAGAGAUCGAAUCAUGUUGGGAGAGAUCCAAUUUGUAUUCUCAAGCAUGACGUCCGAGGUAUUAUACACAUACGGUGAGAGGAGAUGGCGCAAUUGACUACGUGAGUGGUCGUGGUAAUGGAUUACGCACACAAUUUUGAGAUAGGUCGCAAGAAGGUGUCAAAACCACAGGCUUAUUUUGGAGAGCAGCAUCCCGGAGAACUUUCAAAGCAAAUAGCUGGGCAAAUCUUGCGUGAGCAUGCCACAUGUAUCAAUCUCGCACGAGCUUCACCCACUUUUAUAUAGACAUGAUUAUAUAGUAUUUGGAUGAAUUAGAUUAGUUAAUGGAUUAUGUCGUAUCUGACACAUGUCCCGAAUGAUCGAAUUUUGGGUACAAUGCUCCUUGCCUUUCUCUUCAGCUGGUUGAUUUAAAUUGGUUCUAAUUAUACAACCGUCAAUUACCAGGUGACAGCUCUUUCGAGAGAUGUAUUAUGUGAACUUGCAUUUUAUAAGUUGAUAAACUAGAAUCGCGUAGCAACAGCCAAUCAACAGGAUAGUAUGUAUAGGUUUCUAUAAUAAAGGAAAGUUUAGGCUCCAUUCAUCUCGUAGAAAACAUUUUUCUCAUUUUCCGUGACUCGGUUCGCUUAGGAAAAUGAGUCAACGGAAAAUUUAUACUUAAAUUCAAGAAAAUAAUUUUUUUUCUUUUUAAAAAACUGAAACAUUUUCCAAAAUAUGACUAAAUAUUAGCAUUUAGAUCGAAAACUUUACACUUGAGCACAAAAACCCUAUCACUUGUUCUCGGGUCUUAGUGCUCAAGACCAAGUCUUUGGCGGCCAGGCCCAGCCCCUGACACACGCACUUGGGUGCAUCGAGGCUGGGCUCAAAUCCCUAAUGCUUGUGCUCGAUUCCUCGGCACCCAAGCCAAGGUCCAUAAAGGCCAUGCUUAGGUCCUCAAUACUCAAGCUUCAGCCCACAAAGGCCAUGUACAGGUCUCCGAUGCUCAAGCUCAAGUCUUUAAUUAAUGAAAUUCUCGUUCUUAUACAAAUAUUUAAAAUUUUUGAAAUUUUGAAUUAUUUUUAUUUUUUUAUUCCUUUCCUUUUUUAUUCCUUGGGUAAUUUUUUCCUAUCAAAUGGUGGAAAAUAUUUCUAGUUCAUUUCGGGUUUUAGUUGAAUACAAGAAAAUAUUGUUAUAUUCCUUUUCAAAAAAGUUACAUUUUCUGAUAAAUGAACGAAGGCUAAGUCAAGAACAAAACUCAAAAGUUUAAUAUGGUGGAAGGGUUUACUAGAAAGUUCUCUAUAUAAAUUGACAAAUUCAAUUAAUCAAGACCACCUUUGUCAUAAGCUCACUUCAAUCUCAGCAACAAUCACCAGAAAUCGAAGAAUACUCCUCAGUACCAUAAAAGUUCAUGGCUCUCAUCAAUAGCUUUCCUCGUCGAAAAGGAAAGGAAGGUAGUUGCGCGGCGCGUAUAGAGAGAACUUCCCUCCUAACAAAAAUGCGUGCGACCUGGCAUUCCUAGUAAGCCACAAGUGAGAUAAACAAAGCAUACCAAGAUACGAUUAUAUAGAAGUUUCAACAAUCCAAAGAUUCUCCUAUCCCUUGCCUCUUCAUAUCCGAGCAAGAACGACCCAUCACAAAUAAGCCUCAUGAUGUGCAUUUCCUUUCCAAGCAAAACAUUCUCAUUCAUUCUCCAGCACAUUUGCUUUUGGAUAUGGUUUACUCAUGGGCACAAGAACCAAAAGGGACGAAAAUGCGAGAAGUGUAAAAAAAAGUCCAAUAGUUUCAUGUACAAAAUUAUUGGGAGUGCGCAGCAGAAGCUUGAUACCUAUACCUAAGGAGAUCACCAAGAGAAACUCCAAAUCUAAACACGUCAAUAUAUCUAGUUGAACCCAUGAAUCAAUGAUUUAUUGGCCAAAUAUGAUAUAUAUUAACUGCUCCACACUGCCACAUCAAUUUUCUAAUGUGGAACUUUUUAACACAAUUCAAAUGUGCAUCUCGACAAUCUUCCCCUUUCUCACGGACCAAACCAUGAAGGCUAACAAUGUGAGACUUCCUAACACAAUUCAUCCAUGCAUCUUAACAAUCUUUCCUUUUCUCCCGGGACCAAACCAUGAAGGCUACCAUUGGGAGCACAUUGGUCAACAUAUUUCUUACUGGAAGGUAUUAAAGAGCCCAAGUUCAAAUCCGUUAACAUAUUGAGGUGGAUCCACAUUUACUAAGUUUAAGCAAAUGAGUUAUGGACCAAUUAAAAUAUAUUAAGUAUUUUACACAGCACCAAUUUUUUAAUGUGAAAUUUUUUUAACAUUUUAACAAAAACCGUGAUGGAGGUAUCUGAGAUCCUCUACUGUCAUUUGUCUUAUUAGAAUGUUCCAAACCUCCUCAAAAUGUAGGUCGAGGAAAAAAAACAGAAAAAAGAAAAAAGAAGAAAACUUCAACAAUUUAAAAUUCAUUUUUGCUUAAGAAGAUUAAUAAAGUCCUUCCGUUUUGUACGCGGAUCGGGUAAAGUCCAGUUCAUCGUGGGACCCACCUUCCCGGCAGGCAUUGUUGGCAAUAUAGAAGUUCAUUUGUAAAGCAAGGGAACCCUGCAAGGCCGCAAGGCUGGUUCUCGGUUCUUCAUUUUAAUUACCGGGAAUUCCUGGAUCCUUUACUUCAUGUUUGUGAUGUUCUUGGACCGCAAUUUUCAAAUCUCAUACUUAAGUUCGGUGAAUUUUGAUGGCAUUCUGACUGUGAGGUGAUUCUCAUACGCCCUCCUAAACAACUAAAAUCCAUUUGUUUAUCUUAAAAGAAACAUGAUCAAUUGUUCGAUUCAUCGUCGUUUCUUUUAUAGAGAGGUACAAAGCUUCGAAUUGUGAAUUUUGUCCAUGGCGCUAACAGACUUGGCAAUCAAAACUUCCCACCACCAAAGGGAAAAAACAAAUAGGACAGUAAGCAGCUACUUUUCUCAUCGAGCAAGCAAACCUUCAUCUCGGGGAAAUUACUGUGGUUGCAUUGGGCCAGCUCCUAGAUAUUGCACUGGUCAGAAUCUUGAUCUUUUGUCAUGCUUGUUUCACUUGGUAGCAUACACAAAUCAUGCUUGUUUAACAGGGCUUAUUCAUAAGUUGUCAAAUGGAUAUGUAAUCCAGGCUCUUCACCAAGAUCCAACCUUUUCCAGAAAGAUUGGGAAGACCGUGCUUCUUGGUGGAGCUUUUUCUAUUAAUGGCAACGUGAAUCCAGCAGCUGAAACCAAUAUGAGUUGUCAAAUUUCUUCUUUUUCUUCCAAGACAAUAUUUAAAACCUGCAAUGUAAAACUUUAACAGCUGCUAUAAGUUCGCUUUAAGGCUCUCUUUCUCUAACUAACCGUGGCUUGGAAUAAAUGUAACCCAUCAGGUUGUUUUGACAGGUAAAGUCAGCUAGUAUUAAAAUUUGCUAAUAGUGCGCGUGUUUCGAUGGACUUAAAUAGAGAUUUAGCAUAGAGCAUGCAGAGAUAAUGCUAGUGAUUUUCUAGUGAUUCUUUUCUUUUUUUUUUUUUUGGUAAAUUUUUCUAGUGAUUCUUUAAUCAUUCUAGUUAUAAGUAAAGCAUCCUAUCUGCUGCUUUUGGAGAAACAUACGGUGUUAGUUUUUCUUCUGAUGAUUUAACUGAAGGGUAAAUUUACUUAAGGGUCAGAACUGUUUCCAGCAUAGUUUCACAAGUCCACUUUCGUUGCUUACUCUGUGGAUCUUUCUGUUUUUUGGCCAAAGAAUGCUUUUCAUUGAUUGAGUGCGACAAAUUGCAAGUAUUCGGCUUCUUACUGUUUGAAGUAUUUUCUGCCUAAACAGUAGUGACACCAAAAGUCAGGCCAGUCAACAACCAUAAACUUAAUCCAUUUAAUAAAAGAUUUGAAUUGUAUAACAAUCCUGGUAUUGUCAAUUACAUAUUUAAUUAUGGAUUGCCAGGCUUUUUAAUCUGAACUGUUUUGAGACACUACAGAUGCAGAUAGAGAUAAGUUGGUUCAAUCAAACGGAAGAUUUGCUCAAUACCUCUCCAGAAUCUUGGAAGUGUACUUUUCCUAUCAUCGUGAAGCAUACUUCACCAGAGGUAUGCUUACUGAAACAUCAUGAUUCAGGACAUGGUUUUUAUUAUCUUCCCAUCAUUUAUUUUUAACACUUAUAUGUCAUCUUGGUGCAGGAGUUUACCUCCACGAUCCAACAACAAUACUUGUAGCUAUUAACCCUUCACUUGUAACUUUCACUGAAGGUGUGGUUAGAGUGCAAACGACCGGUAUCACAAGAGGGCUCACUAUACUAUAUAAUGGACAGAAAAGGUAGGUAGAAUGCCGCAGCUCAAUUAUCAGGGGCCCUUAUUCAACAUAACUUUUUCUGAGUGCCGAUCACUGAUGGUGGGCAUCAUGUCAUGAAGCAAGGCUGUCUGAUAUUAGUUAAACCCAAUAAAAAGUCCAGGAUCUAAUUAAUAUAUUGUGAAGGGCACAGUGCUGGAUUUGAAAUCUGCUUAAAAUCUGGAAAAAUAAAGAGUUAUUUCCUUGAAGUUUCGAUUUUGAGAAGAUGCAACAAACGGAUUUGCACCUCAAGUGCCCUUAGAAGGGACAAAGAAUUUUUUCCCCCUGUAUUGUUGCCGAAUAACAAAGAAUAGAAGUAUAGAGGAGAGGUAGCGUUUCUAAUCCAAACUAUAGGAGGUUGGAUUACCCUUCUCAUAUGCUGUGCUUGUAAAGAAGUUCCUCCACUUGAGUAUGCUCGUUGUAACCACUCAGCUAUAUCAACUUUGUUGAAUAGGUUCGGUGAACACACGGAAUGGUCUGACAAACCGACGGUGAAGGUGGCGGUGCCUGUUGACGCUCCCUCUGUCGUGAAAUUGGUCCUGGAUCGACUCAUGGAGUCCUGACUUCAGAAGGCACCAGGUAAUUGAUUGAAUGAAUCGGGUGAAGCUCGUUGUAAACCAAUAACAGCUUUGUUCGAAGGUCACAGUGCUAGAUGAUUUGCUCAGAAGAGCGGAAUGAAAAUGCCAGUUGCCAAUGGCGGAUUCAGAAAUUCCUUAGGUCUGUGCUCCUUGCCACCGACUGGAACGUCUGAUUUGGUUUUCUUGUAUCAUGUUGAAGCGACCGUUUGCUUCUUGCAAUAAUGUUGUCCCAUUUCUGCGUCCGACUGACCAUCAUAAUUGGCAUGUCGCUUGAAAUGAAACUUUUCCCCUAUCGCCUUGUUAAAUGCUUAGCAAACUUGUCUGGGACCGUCGCGGGUAUAGGCCUGUGUGGGUAGCUACUUAGAGCUUUUCUAACUUGACGAAAUAGCAAAGAUGUAAUUUGGAAGAUCGAACCCUUUUCUCCUUAACUUUGCCAAUUGGCCUCUUCACUAAAACGUGCGUGUGGCGACGGUGGGUUACCAUUUUCUUUUUUGGUUUUUCCAUAUUUCUUCUCCUCUCACUCUGUGAUUUGAGUUCACCUAAGCCCUGUGAUAUCCUUGAGAGGCUGAGAACAAUUUCAUAUUUCUCGGGGAGAGAGGAGAAUAAUAAGCUACACUUGAUACAUAUUUUACAUUUUUCAAUAAUUGUUUUUGUUGUAACUCCAGUGGAAUGAAUUUAUGUUAAGUGAAAUUUUAUUCAUUCAAUGUAGUAAGUUCUAUUCAAAUUAUAAUUAACGUACAUAUAAAUUAGAUUUGGUAUUAUUGUUUUUACUUUUGUAUUCCUAUAAUUAAAAUCAAACAGACAUCCUUGAGUUUGUUAUUAUGAUUUUUUAUGCAAUAUGAGAUAACAGUUCGAAGAUGACAAAUAAGCUAAAGCUUGUUGUUGCAUUUGUACCAUGAACAAUGAUGCGUGAAGUCAAACGCAACAUGGCGAGGACAAACAAAAAUAGUCUCUCAAUUUCGACUUUUAACUACCUAAGUUUUGCGACUUUGAAUACAUAGCGUUUUAAUGAAUUGAUCCUUUCCUAUGGUUUAGGCUUUACCACGGUGAAUUGAGCAACUUUCUUUAGGUUCAUAGGAAUAUAAAAAGCUGCUUGUCUAAUAGAAAUCAACGAAUCGAGUUUGUAUCUGUUUUCCAUCUUGUUCUGACCCGACGCCGCUUCUUUGCUUGUGCUUUAAUAUCUCGACGCGAUCUCCAUCCAACGUGCAACGCCCACUCCAUUCUCACACGCCAUCCAUUAUUUUAUUCGCACAGGGAUUACAUGUCAACAAAAAUCACAGAUAUAGAAUCGCACGUAGUCCUAAAUCUUGUAUUAAUUAUUCCAAAACAAUCGAAAUAUAGCUUCCAUCACAAAAUACAACAGAAAUCUACGUUAUUUUGCACAUUAUCAGGCGAGAAACGGGGAUUGAUUGGAUCGAUGGCAUUGCGGGGAUUGAUUGGAUCGAUGGCAUUGCGACGAAUCGUAAAUUUGCUAUAGAAGGCUUGCCGUUCAUAUGAUUAUCCACUCCUUGGCAUCUCAUGAUAACUUCAAAAGAUAUCGUAUUCAAGUUAUAUGAAUAACGUCGACAACAUGAUAUCCUGGCAUCUCCAGUCAGGUUUGUAGUAACAACCGAAACGAACCAUCAACAGCCAAACAAAAGCUAGAAGCUCUCCACCUUUGCUCAGCACCUGCCUGUGUGCUUCUCCCUUAAUAUCAAUUGCUGCAUUCGACAGCAUCUCCACCCACACUCCGCUCAUCACAUCCCACUUCCUUUCCUCGAGCCUUUCCAUCUUUUUUGCCAAAUCGGUCCCCACAUGGAGGUGCGCAUUUCGGAAGUUGUGACCCUCAAACAAUUUCAUGCAUAGCGUCUCUAAACUGAUGGUACCUUUCUCAUUGUGCAAGUAACGAUCUCGUAACAUCCGCGCUAAUGUCAUUUGGGUAACGCCUUCCACAGCGGACAUCACAUUAGAUAGUUUAAAUAAAAGAUACAAUAAAAUCUUGUUGAAUUCUCUUUUGUUAUCUCUCACUUGUUUCUCUUUGUUGUACCAUAUUUAGGUAGCAAUAUGUCAUGAUAUAAUACUAUCAUCGUAAUUAAGCUUGGUGAUAUACACUAAAAGAUUGUUGUGAUCGAUCCCUUCCAGUCUACUCUUAAGAAACAGAUCACCUCUAGUCUCAAACAUUUCCCUCACCUAUUCGUGAUUAUCAAAUUCUCGGAUUUACGUUUCACCUCCUCAAAAAAUAAAGAUCCAUAGACCCUUAAUUAAGGGAUUUUGGGACACGUACUUUGUAUUUGCAAUAUUUGGUAUCUUCCCAUCAAGAUCACAAUCCCCGCAAACCUCACCAACUAGAUGAAUUAAAUCAAUGAUCUUAGAAAAAGUGGUGAUGCUCCAGCAUCGAUUGCACUUAUAAAUCUUUCUCGAACUCCUUGAAAGAUACAUGGAUAAAAGGUUGCAAUCAAAAAUUGAUUCUAACCAUCUUCAAAAUAUUAAUGGUGUAUCUAACAUUUCAUAAGCAACACUGGCAUUAGGCUUUACUUUACAUGGGUUGAAUUGAGGUUUCCUCAGGUGAUCCGUGGCAGAUACUAACUUUCCCUGUUCUUAUUUCAAAAUAAAACAAGUGAAUAAAAAAUAUUUUAUCAUCCAACAAUGUAUGCCUAAAGGAUUUUGUUGAUAUUGAAUAUACUUUCAGUUGAUCUAUUUUCUUAGCGAUAUAAGCAAUUAAAGUUAGGAAAAUCUUUUUUCAAAUUUUCAAAUUUACAUGAAAUAAACGGAGCAAAUGUGCGUAAUUUUUUUAAAGUUUAAGUGCGUCUUUGGGUGUUUAGUCUCACACAAAAAAAAAACAUAUAAUCUCUUCUUCUUUUUUGGCAUUUGAUCCUCCGAUCAAUAUAAAAAUAAGGAAAUAAAGUCCACACUCAAAAAAAAAAAAAAUCUUCUUUCACAACUUGUUUAAAAUAUAUAUUGAUUGGACUAAUUUGCUCUUAUAACUCAUCCACAGAGUCCACGAGGAUUCUUGAUAUGUAUUAUGUAUAAACAUAGUAAUAUCCUCUGCCAAAUUGGGUAGAUAAUCAAAGAGUCUAGGUUACCUUUCUUGCUUCUACAACUUGAAAGUUGUACGACGUGCCCAUGCUAGAUUUAACUAACUCCCGUGCAUUGAUACCUCUUUUUUUUUAGGAAAACAUUUUCAGGUAAUCUCGGUUCAUUUUAUUCCCUAAAAUUUAAUUUAAAUGUCCAUGUAGGAAUGGCCAUCUGUGGAGGAUCAUCAAAAGUAAAUAAUGCAAAUGAAUCAACAUAUCGUGCAAUGCCUAACAUUAUAAAAAAAAUAGCAUAAAUAUAAAAGAAAGAAAAAUAAAACGAUGUAUAAAAAGGAAAUGACCCGAGCAGAAAAAUAAAACGAUGUAUAAAAAGGAAAUGACCCGAGCAAUUCUGGACAACAUUAAUCACCGCUUUGGUAUUAUGUCCUGGGAUAAGAACUGGUGAAUGGUAACAGGAACUUCUAAAGAAAUUCCAAAUGAGUUUGGUAUAAUGCGCCGAUGCUGAACGCGUGCAAAUAUGAUAUGACAGGUACUUCCCUUCAAUGCGAAUCUACGCAUAGAAAUAAAACAUAGCCUAGGAUAUUCAAUACGCAAUGCACUCAGUCUAAAGCAAAAAUAUUAAUUUUACACCUUAUGCGGUUUGCUUUCCUAUAUGUUAAACAUGAAAGGAAAUGAUGUUUAUCGUAAAUGAUAUGAAUAUGCAAGCUUAAUCUAAAUGCAACCCAAGUAGUAUUUUUACCAAUUUUUUUUUACCGGAAACGCACCCUAAAAUCCCUAACAUGCAAAAAAUGAUUUUUUUUUUUCCCUUUCCUUUUUGAUGGUGUGCAAACGUGAGUUAUACAUAUACACACGCACGCGUGAUCUCAAUGAGCCUAAAUAUGCAUUAAAUAUGCAUUGUAGCACAUAUUUCUAAAGAACCCUGACUAACCUAUCGGGGGCAAUUUUAUUAUGCAAAUAUGAUGAAAAUGCUAUUUUAAUAAAUAUUUUACCUUGCCGAUGGUGAAUAUUUUCAUCUAUGCAAAUAUGGAAGAUCUCUUAAAGUGUUAUUUUCUAGAUAUGAAAAAUCCUAGAUAUGCAUAAACAUUCGAAUGUUAAUUUUUAAAUAUAUGUAAAGAUGCAAAUUCCUAGAUAUGCAAAGAUGAGAAUACUCCAAGAUAUGCAAUUGCUAAAUAUGCAAACUCGAAUUUCUAAAGAUGCAAAAAUGAGAUGCAAGCUCCUAAUUCAAUUAAUAUACGAACUUACAUGCAUUAGACGUUUAAGAACUAUUAUUUGACAUGCGAACUAACAUGCAAAUUAAUCAAACAUGCUUAACCAAGAACUUUACAACGAAUAACGCACAAUAUGUUACUAAAUGUAGUAAAAGAGAUCUAAUUUUGAAAACUGUAUGAUUAGAGCCUAGCAUGCUAAGAUAAUAAUGGCCAUCGAGAAACUGAGAAGCAAAUAUUCACAAUAAAAAAUACUAAGGCUCCAUUUAUUUUGUGAAUAAUGAAUGACUAGAUUUUUUUUUCCCUAAAAAUGAUCUUCUAUAUUGCUUAUAACAAUAAAUGAGAGAAAAAUAUUUUCAUUAUUCACCAAAAUGCUUAGUAGAUAAUGAUAAAGGCCUCUUCAGUUCAUUAUUUUAACUAAUAGAAGUGAUUAUUUUCAAGAAAAUAUUUUCGAAAUCAUUUAUCUUUUGUGAAAUAAGUAGAGCCUAAAAACAAGAAAAUCAAAUAAGGUCUGACCAAAUAAGAUGAGCCAAGCCCAUACCAUCAUCAACCGUGGGGGGACCAAGCACCAGCCAUGCAUCAAGCACCAUGGAUGGGCCAAAGUCAAGGGCCACGGGCCACGGGCCACGGCUUGAACGGUGCAGAAGUCACCGAUCCAAAUCGACAUUUUUGAUGAUGCAUUCAUCUGUAUGGUCGGAGUUGNNNNNNNNNNNNNNNNNNNNNNNNNNNNNNNNNNNNNNNNNNNNNNNNNNNNNNNNNNNNNNNNNNNNNNNNNNNNNNNNNNNNNNNNNNNNNNNNNNNNUCCUUGGAAUGGGCCACGGGUAGAAGAACAUGGUUGAAGUUGAUGAUGCAUUCACGACAGUUCUGCUCACUGCUAUCGUGGACUUCGAUGUCAACCUAUGAGCUGAGUCCAAGAUUUUUAUUUUGUUUCGGUUUUCUGUAGCCGGUUUACUUCACUCAGAUCGUGCCUCUUAUGUUGAUUCGAAGAGGCAUUGCCGUUGAGAAUAGUUUGCUCACAUGCUGCCGUCUUUCAUUGGAGUUACGCCACCCUCCAAUCCUGUAGGUCUUUAUCACCAACUCAUCGCUGGGGUAAGGAUAAACUGAAGCUGGGGAAUAUAUUGACUUUCUGAUUUUGAGUCAUAUACUAUAGGAGCACGUGUCCUUUUCCUUCUUGUUGUUUUGCAGUCUGAACAUUGACGGAGGUCGACUAAAUAUAAUUGUUAACCAUGUAAUCCGCACUUAAAAAAACUGUCCAAAAAAUCAUAAACAUAUUAUGCUUUUGCUAAUUUAGUCUUAAACUUUUAAGUUUUGCCAAUUAAAUCUUAAAAUUUUUUAUCUUUUACCAAUUGAGUUCAUCCAGCCAAUUGACAAAAGUGCAGCAUGUUUAGGAUUUGCUAGACAAUUUUUCUCCCUUAUGGAAAAAAUGUCACAUUGAUUGUGUGAUAUGUUUUAUUGAAAUGAAUGCAUGCUAGACUUUGCCAUUGAGAUGUGACAUGGGAUUAUUUUGGCCUUCCUCGAAUCCUAUUUUAGCUCAUCCAUGAUUAGAGUCUAUGUAGCACGGACACUCUCCAAAAGCCUUCAUGUCAUGUCUGACACUCCAACACGUGUCCGACACGCUCUGACACGACCCGACAUGCUCCGACAUGCAGUCAACGAGUGUCGAAAAAUAUGACACGUGAUUAACUCUUUCCAACACGCUCCGACACGCGAGUCCAGAAUUCCGACACGUGAUUCCGAUACACGGUUCCGACAUGCACGAGGUCAAUUUUAAAAAUUUCUAAUACUUGAGAGAUCAAAAUAUAAAUAUACACAAAAUAAGUAAUAAAAGAAGUAAUAAAAUUGCUAUAAAUAUACACGCACAGGGUCAAUAUUUUUUUUCUUAGUUUUGUUUUUUUAGAAUUGUUUUAUUUUUUUAAAAAGUCUUUUACUAUGAAAGAAGUAAUAAAAAAAUGCUAUAUAUGAUAAAUAAAUAAAUUUAAAAAUAUCAUUUUAGCAUUUUUCUUUAAACUAUGUUUUUUUCCUCUAAGUUUUGUGUAUUAUUGUAACAAAUUAAAAUAAUAAAUGAUAUUAUUUAAUAUUUUUCGUGUAAAUUAAUUCUAGGCUAUUUUUAUUAUUAUUAUUUAUGCAUUUAUAUAUAAAAAUACAUUUAAUAUAUAACGUGUCAGAACAUGUCGAAAUUCUCUAUUUUUAAGAAAUGACGUGUCGGCGUGUCGUGUCGUGUCGUGUCUCGUGUCGCGUGUCCAUGUCGGUGCUACAUAGAUUAGGGUUUAUGUCUAUGAGUUCCUAGACACUUUAAUAUGUUUGGAUAACAUUCUCAUGCACGAAAAAUGAAUUGUAUUUGCUGUAAUGUUGCUGAUCGAUAUUCGUUGAGAGGGAAGUUAGCAGAUUUCGACGUCAUUUGGUGCUUUGGUUGCUCAUGAUGUUUGCAUAUCGCAUGUUAGUCCAUAUUAGGUUCAUGUGCACUUUGUACAGUUAAAUUUAGGUCACGUAUGUCUUGAGUAACAAAUGACAAAAUGAAAAAUAGAAAAAAAGGUGAAAAAGAGCAUUUAGAAUGGCAUUUAGCUUAAGGUUGUAUGUAAGGAUAGGUUCGGUCAUUGCUUGUAAGUCAUUCCAUUCGGUUUCUCUCACCGGAUCCUGUCCUGAGGCGUAAUAAUGAGACCGUAUAUAUUUUUUACCUGACUUGUAUCAGGUUUUUACUUACUGUGCACUUUAAUCGUAUAUUGAUUUUCGGAUGUUCACUUUGUUCGUUUGGCAAAUGAUAUAUAUUAUGUUUAUGUUGUGCUCAAUGGACAUGAACACCUAUUGAAAGGUAACUAGGAAUUCAUAACUUGAUAAGACUACAUGACAUAAAUAAACAAAGCAACUUCAGGUAAUAAAAGAGCAUUAAUUAGACAAUUUACGUAAUCAAGUCCCGAGACCCAAAUCUCCGGUUCGUGGAAGUAAAGAGACCUCUCCAGUUUUACUUGUUUCCUAACCAACCUCCAAAAGGUUAUUGCGAAUCUUGAAGUAAAAACAAUUGUUUCCUAACCGACCUCCAAAAGGUUAUUGCGAAUCUUGAAGUAAAAACAAUUCCAUUAUUACUCGAGGAAACCAAAUUGCAAUAGGUAGGGUUUGGGAAAGUCCAUGCCCAGCAAGCGCCGCCCCACGUUUGCGCCAGCUUGGCCAUCCGUCAAACCUCCUUGGGAUCCGCUUCAAGAGGGUCACGACACCUAUCUAUUACACUUCGAUUGAAGAGCUCAUGCCAGUCUUCAUAAUAUAUGCCCCAUUCAGGAGCGUAGAAGCAACCGAAAUGAGCCAUCAACAACCAAACAAAGGCUAGAAGCUCUCCACCUUUGCUCAACACCUGUGCAUGUGCAGCUCCCUUAAUAUGAAUGGCUGCAUAUGACAGUAUCUCAACCCACACUCCACUCAUCACCUUCCAUUUCGAAUCCCCGAGGCUUUCCAUCAUUUUGGCCAAAUUGAUCCCCUCGCUGAGUGGUGUCGAAACAGAGAUUUCGGGAGGAGCCUCAUACAAUGCGUUGCAUAGCCCCUCCACAUCCUUGGUUGCAAGACUGGGGCACUUCCUUAGCACGCGCAACGUCUCUGCCAAUAUCAUUUGGGCAUUGCCCGCCACAGUGGACACCACAUUAGGCUGAUUAAGUACAAGAUACAACAUGUAGUUGGAGAGGAUCUUACUAUAUUCCCUUUCAUCAUUUCUGGUUGUGGAUUUCUCUCUAUUGUACCAGAUUUCAGUAGCAAGAUGCCACAGUAUAAUACUGGCAUCGUAAUUGAUCUUGGUGACAUACACUGAAAGAUUGCCACAAUUAUUCUCCCACAAGCUACUCUUAAGAAAUAGAUCACCUUUGGCUUCAAAUAUCUUCAUCACUUCUAUCUGAUCAUCCGCAUUUUUGGACUUACGUCUCACCUCCUUAAAGAUAAAGAUCCAUAAUUUCUUAACAAAGGGAUUCUUUGACACAUACUUUGUAUUUGCAAUCAUUGGUAUGUAUCCAUACAUAUGAAACCCCGAACCCCAACCUCCGAUGAUUGUCUCACUAGCUUGAUGAAAAGAAGAAAUGAUCUUCUUAGCCAUACGGAAUGGAAAAUUGUAGAUAUUAGAAAAAGCAAUGAUGACCCGGUGCCGAUUGCACUUGUACAUCUUUCUUGGACUCUCCUCCAAUUUCUCUGAUAAAAUGUUGCAAGCAAAUAUGGAUUCUGACCACCUUCGAAACAUUAAUGGUGUAUCUAAGGCCAUGUAAGUAACAUCGACAUUAGACUUUGAUUCUAAUGGAAUGAAUUGGGGCUUCCUCAAGUCAUAUAAGGUAGAUACCCAAUCAUGGAGAAAUGAAUUUGGUUUAAAUGAUCCUGUGUCAUACCACUUGAUUCUAGCAAUAGUCCAAUCAGAGAAAACGAGCAUAAACAGAGCAACCACAUCAAGAAAAAUCCCUCCGAAAAGAAGGGAAUAAGUAAUUUUCAAAUCAAGUUCUGGGAGCCGAUCCUUCUUCAAGCGAUUAAACAAAAUGAAAGCCACCACAACAUCAAUGAUGGCUAUGAAACGAAAAAUGUAGUUCCACUUGUAACGUAUUGCCAAUGCUUUUGUGUGGAGCACCUCAUACAUGAAAUGGAGUUCAACUGAUAUCACCCUCAAUGCGUCCAUUGCAGAAACUUUGUUGAAAUAUUCACGGCUGAAUUUGCGUUCUCUAUGAGUGAAUAUGAGAUCUCCGAGGAAGACCUUAAAAAUUUGAAAGAAGAAAUAAGCAUGCUUCACCACAAUACUCUCGGUAAGCCUUGGUUCUUCUUCAUCAGAAUAUCCAUCCCCUAGAACAUCGAGUUCUUCAGCCAACUUAUUCUGGUCAACAUUAGGAAACUCCUGCACCCAUUCCCUAAGCCUUGGUAGGCUUGAGAGAUUGAGUGCUAAUAUCCUCUCCAAAUUUUGUAUGAUCCCUGAAGAAAACACUAGUAUCGUUGGGAUCAUUAGUGACUUGUCAUUAGGAAAUAUAUGCGCAAAGACAUAGAUGGCGGCACCGAUUUGGAAGAUGAGACUAAGCAGAUGCCGUCGCCAAAGGGAACUAUCCUCCAAAGAGAAGGCAGUGAUGGUGUCCGGACCACCAAGUUGUAACAAAAGAAAUGAGGCCCAAAAUGCCUGAAGUGCUUUAUCUACUUCAGCUACACGAGUGAAUGAAUUGCCUUGGUUGUGAGAGAUGAGCCCGAUUGCGAAUGCAGCUACCUAGUCAGCCAUCAAAUAGGCCAACCACAAGAGGAAAAUGAUGUGGUUCUCAGUUAUUUUCUUUCUAAGGGAUGAAAAUAGAAUGAGAAAGACCUGAAUUAAGAGACUCAGAAUAACGAAACAUCGGAUGUUCCAUUUAUUCCACAUAUCUGAAAUCAAGCCAAAUGCCAUGUUUUUGCUCAAGUUGAAUUUUAUCGUGGCUCUCUAAUAUAAUUGCCAAACCCAGCCAUUAUAAUGAACUUCACAAGACAAUGUGCUUCCACUCGAUUAUGAUAUUGCGUCAACCAAUGAGCAAAUUCCACCAAAAAGUUUGCUUUAGCCAAAAAGUUUACUUGUCCGUUUACGUGGACGGUAUAAACCAAAAAGUCAAUAUAAGUGGGACGCCUAAUAAAGGCAUGUCUGUCCCACCAACGCAAGUGGCCGCGGAUUUUCUUUAAACUAUGAAUCUCUUUUAUCUUUUAUCUUUUUUAAUUUCUGGAUUAUUGAUUUCUGCGACCUGAAGUUGCUCCUUUAUGAAAAGAUUAACUUCUAUAAAAUUAAAAUUUAUAGGAAAAAUAUAAAAUUGGUAAGAUUGCGUGAACUUAAUAAGUUUUAUCCGUGUAAAGGGCAAAAUAUUGUUUUUCUUCUUUUUUGUCACCUUUUUUUCCGGAUGAAGACCCUGAAGAAUUGAAAUAAGUAGUAGGCAUGGUUUACCACAAUAUCCUCCGCAAGCUUUGCUUUUUUCUUCAUCAGAAUAUCUAUCUUUUAGAACAUUGAGUUCAUCGGCCAACUUCGUAUGUGUAGCUUCAUCCACUCGAGCAACAUCUUCGUCAUCCAAAUUGUGCCUUGGGAGGCUAGAGAGCAUCACUUGCGGGAGCCUCUAGAGGCUUGAGAGAUUAAGUGCUAGUAACCUCUCCACAUUUUUUAUAACCCCGACAAGACACAGCAACAUCAUUAUAAAACUAUAACUUGUUGCUGGAAUUUAUUUGCACAAAAAAAUAGAUGGUGGCACCGACUUGGAAAAUGAGAGCGAGCAAGUGCCAUCCCUGUCCUCUAGAGAAAAGGCAGUGAUUCAUAUCCGAACCAUCAGCAUGUAACAAGAGAAAUGAGGCCCAAAAUUGCUGAAGUGCUAAGUGUAUUUCAGCUUCAUCAGGGGGUGGCUUGUGUUGGUUAUGAGAGAUAAGCCUGAUACAGUCAGCCAUCAAAUAAGCUAAUCACAAGGAGAGAUAAGCCUGACACAGUCAGCCAUCAAUUUAAUAGAAAGACCUUAAGCGAGAGGCUUAGUAUGAUUACACUUCAGAUGUAUCAUUUGUUCCAUAGGCUCGCAAUGAAGCUAAAUUUCCUUCUUCUUCUUCUUCUUCUUUUUUUUCGCUUAGUUUAAAUUUUAUUGCUUCUCUAUAUAAUUUUGGUUAGUAACGGGCCAAAUGUCCACGAAAGUGGAAGAUGCCUUUAGAUUAUAAUUUGUUUAACAGUACGUACUUCACAAGAUAAUGACAACUUUCACUCAAUUGUGAUCUGGAUACAACAAACGACGAAAUUUCACCAAGCCAAGGAGUCUACUUUCCCUUUAAUGUGGGUGAUAUAAGCCAAAGCCAAAUUGGAGUUAAUGUAAGCGAGACGCUCCAGAAAGGCAUGUCUGUCUCCCACAAAUGCAAGUGGCGACCGGUUUUCUAGAAACCAAGAAUCUCUCCUUUCUUUCUUUUCUAUGUUAAGAUUGCAUAAAAUAUAUUCUUAUUCUUUCCUUUCCUCGCCUUUUUUUUUUCUUUUGUUCAUGUAAGGCAAGUUAUUCUUAUUCUUCCUUUCUCUCACCUCAUUCGCUCUUUAUAUAUAGACAUGAAUGGACAAUACUUAUUGCUUUGUGUAGGGUUGAAGUUUUAUCGUCAAAUUGGUCUAAUCUCAACAUUACUUGCACUUCCAUCUGUAAUUGCUUGAGUUUCGAACUAUCAAACUUCAGUAUUCAUGACUAGAUUAGUGAAAUAUUUGGUGAUGCUACCUAACAAGACACUUGAUAUUAUUGAUGAAUAAGAUGUUAUUUAAAAAGUCAUACGAGUGUACUUCUAAAGGAUAAGCAGGUUAUCCUCCACAACAAGAGAAUAAAAUCCUCUUAAACCAACUUAAAGAUUAGGAACCUGACAAGCCAAAUUUAUAAUUACAACAUGUGUUACGUUCGAAGGAAGUAAUGAAACUAGUUCUGCAACUCCUCAGCCUUUCGAGUAUCAAAAACUUGACGAAUAAGAGGUUCUGAAUUUAUAAUUAUAUACAGAUUAUUCUCUUGGAUAUAUUCAGUAAUUUUACAUAAAUCCAAGAUAAAUCAACUCAGUUGAAGAACUCAAUAGUGCUGCAAAAAUAUCAACUAAAAAUUCAAAUCGAAAAUUAACAAAAUCGUGUAAGACCCAACAAAUUGGCUGAUUAGUUACACGUUUGGUUAAGAUAAUACAAAGUCAUAUUCAGAUUUCAGUGUUUCUCAGUCUUAGGAUUUGUGCUCACCAUUUUAGGGUUGUCCCAUACGAUGCUAUAUGAUAAAUAUAAAUGCACAGGGCAGUUUGCAUGCAUUCAUAAUUAUAUAUGACAAAACCAUAUAUAUAUAUAUAUAACUAGCUUACGAAAUCGAGGUGUAAACAAUGCGGCAAAUAUUCAUGGAAUAUUUAAACGCAGCUCACUUGUUCAAGUAGCUACUCAAAUUUUAUUGCAUCAUUUCUUCUAUAAAUCAGAGUAUCAUUUGUUUUUUCACUUUGAAAAGCGGUGCUUAUAUUGAUUUUGGAGUGGGUCCUUUUCUUCCGGAGGAAAUAUAAAAAACAUAUCUCACUAUUGACCAUUAACUACUUUCAACCUUUAUUUAUAUAAAUACCAUUCACAUACUUCUAAACAAAACCUUCAUUGGAAAGAACAAAUUGUGCCUCCUUGCAAACUCAUUUUAGUAUGUUGCUUAGGAUUUGGAUGGUAUGGUUUUUGAAUGAUUUUGAGUGAUUUGUGUGGGUGUGAGAAUCUAGGAUUUAUGGAUGGACUUGUUUUUUUUUUUUUUUAAGAAAAUGACUUAUUUGUAAAUAGGGACUCCCAAAUCGUUGGUGUGAAAAUGUAAAGUGGCCUCUAAAGUUAAAACUCAGGUAUGUAUGUGAUAUUUUCAAAAAUAGAAGUUAUAUAUAUAUAUAACCCGGGCAGAUUUUUUUUUUUUUACUCCCUUUUUAUUAAGAGAAAAAUAUGCCAUUAUUAUAUUAAGUGGAUAUGUACUUUCUAUCAUAUUGAAACUAUUACACAAUCGACAAGGCCUAUGUAAUUUAAGCUGAGCUCUUUGGACAAAAAUGAAUACUUUCUCUGAUUCUACCUUUUCCUAAAUUUUGGCUUUUGUGAUUGUAAAAUCACAUUUCAUUUUUUCAAUUUUUCAAUAUGUGUUCAUAUUAAGAGAAAAAUAUGCCGUUAUUAUAUUAAGUGGAUACGUAUUUUCUAUCAGAUUAAAACUAUUGCACUAUCGAUAAGGCCUAUGUUUUUAAGCUGAGCUCUCAAGACCAAAAUGAAUACUGUCUCUGAUUCUAACUUUUCCUAAAUUUUGGCUUUUGAGAGUGAAAUAUCACAUUAAAUUUUUGAAUUUUUCGAUAUGUGGUCGCUGACUUAAGGUAUGUUUUUGGCAAUUUUUUUCUUUGUCUUGAAUUGGACGAGAGGUAAGGUAAGUAAUGUUCUUCUUCUGUCGUUUUUUUCAGGAAGCCUCCCCGUAAUGUUCCUUACUUGAACAUGACUCGUGAAUCAAUUUGAUUUUCCCCGUUGGCGAUUUUGUUCUUGGUGCUGAUUGGACUUCAUUUUCAAAUCUUCCCACCACCAAUAGGAAAACCAAUGGAAACAGUCUGCAACCACUUUUGCAUCGGCCACGCUAUAGUCUCGGUCCGAGAACCUUUAAAGAAUUUGCUUAAAUCCAACGCGUGAGUUCUACAUGGGUUUGCAUAAUUCAAUGAUUGAGAUUUUUGUUUCUUAUUGGAGAUUUUGUCCCCGGCACUGAUUGGACUUCACGGUCAAACCUUCCCACCACCAAUAGGAAAACCAAUUGAAAGUCAGCAGCCACUUUUGCAUCGGGCCCCGCUCACUGUCUCCUUCACUUCUCGAUUUUUAGGCUUGUUUCAUAGGCAUGUGAAUUUCUUCUGCAUUAGCAUUCAGUUCAAUCUCUUCUACGCAUUCGACAUUUCCCUGCAUAACCCUCAUGUCUCUACUUUUCCAUAUGCACUUGUCUACAUCAUUCAUCCACAUUCGACUCGUUUUAUCAAUCAACUUGCAUUUUUGAAAAUCAAACCGGACAAUUUUGCUAAACAACUAUGUUUAAAUGUAUAAAAUCAUGCCAAGUAAAUGUAACCAGAUCUCGAUGACACGACUAGCCAUUUCUAAACGUGUCAUAAACAGAUUGAGAUGGUCAAAUAACAAAUAUAUAAAAAGAUUGAUCUGUUUAAACUCAAUUUGAAUAGGCUUAAAAUCAUGCUUCCUUUCCAUAUCAUGUUUUGUUUUCCUUGUUUUCAUUAGACCCAUUUAUCUUCUAUCUUUUUCAACUUUUUCUUCAUGGUCUCCACACAAUGUUCUUAAAUUGCAUGAAAUUAUGCAAUUCGUGAGUCACGUUUUCUCCAUCCAACAUUAAUCUAACAUUAAACUUACUUGUAAGGUUUUCUCCAUCCAACAUUAAUUUUAUGAUAAUGGUGUCCGUAUCAAUAGAUUUUAGUGGGAUGGUUCCUUGCUUGUUUGUCAGAAAAUAGAAUCUAUUCAAAAAGUCAAUAAAGUAAAAAAAUUGUGAACCAACCAUUUCGCAAGUGAAAUGGAGCUCAGAUAAAUCUAACUUGAGUUAGAUUAACUACUAGUGGAUUAAUAUUUACAAAGGGUCGUGUAUCCCACUAAAAAGGAAGAUGCCAUCUAGUUAAUAAUUGCUAACUCGUUCAUUAUUUCGUGCUUCACAAGAUAAUGACAAGGUCCUUUCACUCAAUUAUGAUUUUGAUUCAAUGAAUGACAAAAUCUCACCAGCUAGUUUGCUUUCUCCCAAAUAAAAGGAAAAGUUAGCUUUAGUCAAAAAGUUUACUUUCCCUUACUUUCUUUAUAAUAUAAGCCAAAGCCAAGUUGGAGUUAAUAAAGUGGGAUGCUCCAAAGAGGCAUGUUCGUCUCCCAACAUAGCAAUUGAUUUUGUACAGAUCAGGAAUCUCUCUAUCUUUUAUUUAUUUAUUUAUUUAUUUAUUUAUUUAUUUAUUUAUUAAGUAAAGAUUGCAUGAGCUUAAUUAUGGUAUCUCAUGUAUUAUAUGACAGAAGUAAAGUAUGGUUUACGUUGAAGAGAGUAUCAAAAACCUGACAAGUUAGAUGCUUCAAAUUUAUUGCUAUAUAUAGGUUACUCUCUCCAACUUAUCCAGUAAUUUUACAUCCUUCCAAGAUAGAUUAACCUAGUUAAAGAACUCAAUAAUUCUGCAAAAUACCAUAUAAACAUUAAAAUAGAGAAUACACAUGUUGCGAUAGUUUAUUAAAAGUGGUAAAAGAAUCAAUCCAUUCAGCAAACAAACAUAAGCAAGGAAUCUCAUGCAUUAAAAUUUAGAAGAAAAUUAUCUCAUUUAUGGAUGAUGCCUAUUGCUUUGUGCCGGGUUGAUGCUUUAUCAUUGAAUCGGUGCUUUAUCAAUUCUGCUACACAUUCGUCCGUUCGACGAAUAAAUGCAAGCAAGGUAUCUCAUGCUUUAAAUGGAAGACUCAUGCAUGGAUGAUGCUUAUUGCUUUGCGUCUAAUGUGUAUUCAUCAAAUUGGUCCUUUCUCAGUUAGUUGCACAUCCAUCCAUUCUGCGAAUGAAUGUAAGCAAGGCAUCUCAUGCAUUAAAUGGUUAAAGAAAAGUAUCUCAUGCAUGAAUGAAACUUCAAUAUCCAUGAUAGAUGAUACUACAUCUAAUGCGACACUUGAUAUUAUUGAUGAAUGAGAAUACAUCUCUAAUAAGUCAUAUGAGUGUGCUUGUAUAUGAUAAGCAGGUUAUCUUCUAUAUCAAGAAAAUAAAAUCCUCUCAAACCAACUUAGUUGAGAACUUGACAAGCCAAACUUAUGAUUAUGUAUGGUUUAUAUUCAAGGGAGGUAAUCAUGGUAGUCCUCUCCUCAUCCUUUUGAGUAUCAAAAACUUGACAAAUAAAAUAUUUCCAAUUUAUUGCUACUUAUAUGUUACUCUCUUCGACAUGUCUAGUAACUUCACAUCAUCCAAGAUAGAUUAAUCCAGUUAAAGAACUCAAUAAUUUUGAAAAUACCAUAUAAACAUUAAAAUCGAGAAUACACAUGUAGCGAUAGUUCCUUGUUUGUUUGUCCAAAGACGAUAUUAAUUAAAAAAAUCCAAAGUGGUAAAAAAAGUCAAUUCCUUUAGUCAAUAAACACAAACAAAUUAUCUUAUAUAUUAGAUAUCAAAAGAAAAGCAUCUCAUUUAUGGACGAUGUUUAUUGCUUUGCACUAGGUUAAUGCUUUAUUGUCAAAUAAGUCCUUUAUCAAUUUUACUACACAUCCAUCUGUUCCAUGAAUAAAAGCAAGCAAGAUAUCUCAUGCAUUAAAUGGCAGACUCAUGCAUGGAUGAUGCUUAUUACUUUGUGUGAGAUUGAUGUUUUAUCAUCAAAUCGAUUCAUUCUAAGUUACUUGCACAUUUAUCCAUUCUGCCAAUGAAUGUAAGUAAGGUAUCGCGUGCAUUAAAUAGCGGAAGAAAAGUAUCUCAUGCAUGAAUGGAACUUUAAUAUCUAUAAUAGGUGAUACCACAUCUAACACAACACUUGCUACUAUUGAUGAAUAAGAAUAUAUCUAACAAGUCCUGUGAGUGUGCUUGUAUAUGAUAAGUAGGUUAUCUUCCUUAUUAAGAAAAUAAAAUUCUCUCAAACCAACUUAAAGUUGAGAACCUAACGGGUCAAACUUAUAAUAGUUGUCUCUUCUCAUCCUUGUGAGUAUCAAAAACUUGACGAAUAAGAUACUUCAAAUUUAUUGCUAUUUAUAGGUUACUCUCUUCGACAUAUCCAAUAACUUUGCAUCAAUCCAAGAUAGAUAAACCCAGUUAAAGAACUCAAUAAUUCUCUAAAAUACCAUAUAAACUUUAAAAUCAAGAAUACACAUUUUGUGAUAGUUCCUUGCUUGUUUGUCCGAAGAAGAUAUCAAUUAAAAGAUCCAAAGUGGUAAAAAAAAAAAUUUGAUUCAUUUAGUGAAUAAACACAAGCAAAGUAUCUUAUACAUUAAAUGUCAAAAGGAAAGUAUCUCAUUUAUGGAUGAUGCUUAUUGCUUUACACUAGGUUAAGGCUUUUUCGUUGAAUAAGUCCUUAAACAAUUCUACUACACAUCAUCCAUUCCAUGAAUAAAUGCAAGCAAGGUAUCUCAUACAUUAAACGGCAGACUCAUGCAUGGAUGAUGCUUAUUGCUUUGUGUGGAAUACAUAAAAGUUGUUGUUAUUUUUUAUUUUGAAUUUCCUUUUUCAAUUAGAAUUCAAAUAUUAUCUUUAUUUUAUUAAUUUAAGACGUUCUUUAUUUUAGAAAAAUAAUUUUUAUAUUAUAGAUAUUAGAAAUCAUGUCUACUUUCAUCCCAUAUGUCUCAUGGGAUAUUUUUAUCUGGACUAUAUCCCUUUUAUAUCUGACUUCAUCUUGUCUCAGGUAGAAACUAAACACAGGAUAGGAUAAAUUGAUCAUUUCCUAAAUUUUUCUUGACUACCAAACAUAGCCUAAAUGGUUAGAGAAAUCAACUCAUAAUCGCUUCUUGACUUUUCAAAAGUAGGACCUAACUUCCUCGAUGCACCACCUCAACUACAAAAAGCAUCAGGUGAUAAGUAUCAUGUGUCCCUCAUUGGCAGACAUGGCAUGCAUUUCUCAACUCGAUUAUGCCAUUGAGUGAGGGGUGUGUAACUAAAUCAGUUGUACCAGGAACUAGACUGCCCCAAAAAUAGGUCCUAUGAUCGAUUCGAAAUAAGUUCCAAAUUUUUUGAACCAGUUUAAACUAGUACAAGUAUAGCUCUUGAGUCAAUACCCACCUAGUAUCUGGGACAAACUACCUUGUUAUGGAACUUGUUUUAUAAGCGAAAAAGUCAACACUCAUUCGUUGUUUGUCCUUCCUCAAAACUCCUCACCUGUCUUUCCCUUUCACCUAGAUUUUUUUGGAUGAAUGGGGAAUGGAGUUUUAUAAUUUAUAUUUUAUGUUACGUGCUUGAUUUUUUAUAUUUAUAAUUGCAGGUGACUACCCGUUCAUCUUAUGGGUUUGUUGUUUUUGGUGAAUAGGCAUUUCUAUUGUUCAUCUUUUACUUUGAAUCAUUUUGUUACUCAUAAACUCGUAUGAUUUUGCUAUAAAUAAAUGAACAAAAAUUAUCAUCAUCAUCAUUUACUUUGAACGAAAUUGUACAUACACAAACCGUUUUGGAAUAUAAUCGACAACAAAGUUAAGAAAAUACAACCACUUCAAUGGAACCGAAUGUAAGUGAACUAUGUUGGAAUUCAAUCAAUGACAAAGCUCAAGAAUGCAAAUAUGCAAUGCCAAAAUUUAAUCAUCGAUGCUAUAACUAAGAUAAAGAUACAUGCUGAAAUUUAUCGAUGACGUGGAUUUGGAAACUAUAGCUAAGAAUCAUAUCGGAAUUCAAUAUACAACUCGAGUCUAGAAACAAGAAAUUAAAGUGCAAGAAAGUAAAGAUAACCGAAAGAUAUUAGAUUUGGUUGUUUGUGCGUGAGGGCUCUCCAGUAGGCGAAUGCUAGUGUUUAAAGUGAUUGUGCUAUAACUGUCUCUGAGCAUAGUUCUCUUGCGAUUAUAGCCAAGUUCCCUCAUCUCUGGAAAUCUCGUGCCCAUGUUUUCAAGAUGUCAUGAUCUUGUCUUAAAGUAGUUACUCCCUUAAAUUGUGUUUUGGUUACUCCACGACUUCAUUGAUUCUGUUGCAUUGCUCACUAGUGAUUUAAAAUUUGAAAACUUAUAACUGCAUCCUGACGUCUUCUGGCAUUCAACUUUUCUUCCUAAUCGAUAAUCAGUCGCCCCUUCUAAUUGAUAUCCUUGUUGACUAUCGCUAGCUAUAGGUCGUCGUGUAUCAACCACUGAUCAAUGGUCAUCGAAGUACAUCAAUAUCAGUAGUAAUCCUUAUUAUCAUAAACAAUGGAUCACGUACUUAAUAACCUGCACUCUAGUGGUCUAUACAUCUCGACGACCUGGUCAAUUUCUGGUGCAGACAGAAAUCUAGCGUAGGGCCAGAUUUAUCAGUUCCACUACUGACUAUGUAGCUUAAUGAGUAACUUAUAUAGGUUCACUGUCCAACGACAGACGAAGCGGGGGAAGAUAAAAAACCAACGUAUAAAGGGGAAGCUUUGAUUUUAUAAUCUAUUACAGGCUUAAUAAAAGACCCCAUCUCAUCUUAUACCUACGAAACUUUUCUCCGAUAUUUGUUGUUAUUUAAUAGAAGAUGACUCAAAUGGGUUGAGCCUAGUUGUUAUCAGGUUAGUCAUGUUUAAAUAUUCAAUAAUGAUGCAUCACAUCAUCUACAACUCGAUUUCAUAAACUAGUUUCACGUACAUAGUUUUAUGUUCAACCUGAUAGCGCAUGUGUUACUUUUCUCUAUGAAUUAAUGCAUCAGAUACUUGUCUUCGCUCAUGGACUGAAUCAAUUCUUUUAGCUUCUUGAUUUUUUUUUUAAAUAGCAAUUGUCUUAUAACAAACAAGCAAGGCACCAUCUCAGCAAGUAUAAAUGCAUUCCCUAGAGGAGUGAUAAGAUUCAAACUAAGCAAAACAUGACUUUUAUCUCCAUUUCGGAGCUGUGGAACAAAUGGAACAUCCGAUCUUUUGUCAUACUAAGCUUCCUGCUUCAAGUCUUUCUCGUUCUAUUUACGCCCCUUAGAAAAAAAACAAUGAACGACCGCAUUGUUUUCCUUUUGUGGUUGGCCUAUUUGAUGGUUGACUGGGUAGCUGCAUUUGGGAUUGGGUUCAUCUCUCACAAUCAAGGAAGCUUGUCCACUUCUGCAAUUGAAGUAGAUGGAGCACUUCAAGCAUUUUGGGCCUCGUUUCUCUUGUUACACCUUGGUGGUCCAGAUACCAUCACUGCCUUCUCUCUAGAGGACAGUUCUCUUUGGCGACGACACCUGCUCGGUUUCAUUUUCCAAGUUGGUGCCACUAUCUAUGUGUACGUGCAAAUAUUUCCCAGCAACCACUUGUUGGCGAUCCCAACAAUGCUGGUGUUUCUUGCCAAGAUCACAAAAAAUGCGGAGAGGUUACGAGCACUUAAUCUCUCUAGCUUCUCGAGGCUUAGGAAAUCGAUGCUCUUGAGCCUUCAGUCUAAAAAAAUUGCGUUCUUAACUGAUGAGUCUCUUCAUGACGAUAGAGGUGACCAAUUGAUUAAAGAACUCAAUGUUCAACGGGGAGCUAGAUAUUCCGAUGAAGAAGUGAAGCUUCCUGAGAGCACUGUGGUGAAGCAUGCUCACUACUUUUUUCAAAUCUUUAGGGUCUUCAUUGGAAAUCUCAUCUUCAUAUAUGAGGAUCGCAAAAUGAGCCGUAAAUAUUUCCGCAAUGUUUCUGCAAUAGAUGCAUUGAGGGUGAUCUCGGUUGAACUCAACUUCAUUUAUGAAGUGCUCUACACAAAAGCGUUGGCAAUAUAUUCCUUGUGGGGCUACAUUUUCCGCUUCAUAGCCUUCACUAGCAUUGUGUUGGCUUUUGUUGUGUUCAAUCGCUUGAAGAAGCAUGGGCUCUCCAAACUCGAUGUGGAAAGUACUUAUUCCCUUCUUUUCGGAGGGAUUGCUCUUGAAGUGAUAGCUCUAUUCAUGCUUGUUUUCUCCGAUUGGACUAUUGCUGGAAUCAAGCGGUACAACACAAGAUCAUCUAAACUAGAUUCAUUUCUCCAUAAGUUGGUAUCCACCACAGAUGACCUAAGGAAGCCUCGCUUCGUCAUGGGUGGAGUAGUGCGUAACAUCAAUGCUGCUUACAUGGUCUUAGACACACCAUUUAUAUUUCGAAGGUGGUCGGAAUCCAUCUUUGCUUGCAACCUUUGCUCUGAGACCUUGAAGGAGAGUCCAAGAAAGAUGUAUAAGUAUCAUCGUUGCUCUAGCAAUUUUCGACUCCGUGAAAAGAUCAUCUCUUGUCUCCAUCAAGCUAGUAAGCAAAUUGUUGGAGGCUAUGGUCUGAGGAAAAAACCAAUGAUUACAAAUACGAAGUACGUGUCCAACAAUGCAUUUAUUAAGAAGUUAUGGAUCUAUAUUUUCAAGGAGGUGAAACGCAAAUCCAAUAAUGCAAAUAAUCUGAGAGAGGUGAGGAAGAUAUUUGAGGCUCGAGGUGAUUUGUUUCUCUAUAGUAGCCCGGUGGGGAUAGAGUGCCACCAUCUUUUGCCAUAUGUCGCCCAGGCUAAUUAUGACACUUCUAUAAUAAUGUGGCAUCUUGCUACUGAAAUGUUGUACAACAAAGAUUCCAUAGCUGAAAAUGAUGAAAGGGAAUUUAGUAAGAUCAUCUCCGACUAUAUGAUGUAUCUUUUCCUUAAUCAGCCUAAGGUGGUGUCCAAUGUGGGAGGCAUUGCCCAAAUUACAUCAGCGGAAUUAUUGAACCAGCUACGGUCCCAUGCCAAUGGCGCGACCAGGGAUGUGGAGGGGCUAUGUAGGAGAUUGUCAAGAAACUUCGAAGCGGGAAAUUUGGCCCAAGAGAUGGAAAGGCUUGGGGAUAUGGAGUGUGGGUUGAGAUGUUAUCAUAUGCAGCCAGUCAUAUAAAGGGAGAGGAACAUGCACAGGUGCUAAGCAAAGGUGGGGAGCUUCUAACCUUUGUUUGGCUAUUGAUGGCUCAUUUUGGCUGUCUAUAUAUACCUGAAUGGGGCAUGCAUUAUGAACGCCUGGGAGAAUGGACCAAUUGGUCUCGCUUCUGAAUCGCAAGCCUAAACAACUAACGGAAUUGCUAUUCAGUAUGACACUAUCGGUUCAAUUAUUUAAUAUUUCGUGUAUGUUUAUGUAUAAUAUGAUGUAAAUAAUCAUUGUACUCUGUGAUGGAAGCUAUAGUUCAAUAGCUAUAGAAUAAUUACUACAAGAUUUAGUAUUAUGUUUAAUUUCAUAUCUAUGAUUUAUGCUUCCAUGUAAUCCCUAUGCUAAUAAAUUAAUAAAUGGCCGCGAAUGCUAUGAAUAUUGCUCAACGGGGGAAGAUUGCAUCGAGAUAUCGAAGCGAAGCAGAGAAGCGGCGUCGGGUCAGAAUAAGAUAGAAUAAAUGAUCAUAAUAGAUAUGACAAAGGUAAUUAAGAGGAAGAUGAUAGAAUAGGGGAAACACAACUCUAAUUUGAUUUUAACUGGUGUAAUUUCAAUCAUUACUUAAAUCUAUCGGUUGUUACCAAAAACCCUAGCUUCACUCUCAUUUCCUUUCUAAGUAUCUGGUUUUUAUCAACAACUAGAUUCAUUGAUUUUUAUUAUACAACCAGUUAAUUAAUUCCUCUUAAGGGUGCAAUGUUAAAGCUUCCUUUAUCAGGGACUUACCCGAUUAUAUUCUCAUGACCCUCAACAAAGUUUCUCAAUUCACCAUGAUAAAGCUAAAGUUACCAGAAAAAAAAAUAAUUUACCACAGAGUUACAUAAUUGAUGUUGAAAAUAUUACAAAUUAAAGUCGAAAUCGAGAUAACAUUCAUGCUUGUCCUUGCCACGUUGCGCUUGUUUUCACACUUAUGAGGAUGAAAAUUUGCAAUUCACCAUGAUUAUAUUCUUAUAAUCCGUAAGGUGGUGCAAUUCAUGUAUCAGCUACUGCGAUAUAAACAUUUCCUUACGUGAAAGAGGCUUGCUGUUAUCCAGUCUCUAGCAUCUUAUAUCAAAUUAGCUAUCCUUCGACAACAAUCUGGCAGUGCCAAUAAUGUAAUCAUUUGAAGGGUCCUCCACGGGCGAGAUGGGUAAAUCUUUGGCAGGUAGAGUUUCGAAGGGUUUCAACUAGAAAUAUGUAAACGGGGGUAGAAUUUGCUUCUCUUGCCGUCGGCAAGAUGGAUAACGAUACUAAUGAUCAUUUUCUAAUUGUUGUAAGGUAGUGCUGACAUUUAGAUUUUUAUGAUAUAAAGGUCAUAUUAUUUUAAGAAAUAGGAAUCUAUUUUCUUUUAAUAUACUUUUUUAGAGGAGCUGAGUGAUGGCCCACAAGGGGCCCACCCUUAAAAUAGAAUGACUCCAUAGAUCCCAUUCCCAGAAGUGGGGAUCGAACGCCCCACUUUCCCGAUCCCGUAAGGAAACUGUGGCCACUAGGCUUAAUUCUUUUUGGGAGGAAAACCCCAUUAGACUUUAAAUUUUGUUACAAAACGGCACAUAAGAUGAAUCACCAAAUAUUUAUUUUUGUAGGCAUUCAAGUGAACAAUUUUUAAGUAAAUUGAUUGAUCGAAAAAAAAAAUAUGCCAUUUAAAUGAUUAUUGUACAAAAAUUACAACACUUAUGGUAUCUUUUUCCAGCAUAUCUCUUCUUCUUUUUUUACAGUCAUUCUAUUUUUGGUAAUUUCAGACAUUACACAAUUACUGUCUUAUUUGCAUGAUUUACUUUUGGUGAUUUUCAAUAGAUCACCAAUUCUACAUGGACUCUUAAAUGAUUUAGCGUAGGUUUGUGACAAAUUUAGCAAAAUAAUGAUUUACUCCAAAUAAUGUGAGAUAUCAAGUUGCAAUUUGUAGGAUUUAGGAGAAUCCAUAUAAAGAGUAAACAUUAUUUUUCGGUUUGGUUUCUUUAAACAGAAUUUUCAUGCCCGGAAUCUAGGUUAAUAACUCCGUGCAUGACACCUAAUUAUUAGAUUUUCUCUAUCCCGCAUUAAUUUUAUGAUAUUGGUGUGCAUAUAUCAUCAGAUUUCUUCAAUGCUAAUUAAUAGAACGAUAACGAGCAAACCUUGGAGUGAUUUAACAGGAUUGCAAGGUAGACCCGGAUAACAUUUAGACUAAGUAUAAGUUCUUCCAAACUCUAUNNNNNNNNNNNNNNNNNNNNNNNNNNNNNNNNNNNNNNNNNNNNNNNNNNNNNNNNNNNNNNNNNNNNNNNNNNNNNNNNNNNNNNNNNNNNNNNNNNNNAAUUUUUUUUUAGCUUUUCUUAAAAUUAAAUCAUCAUUAUGUUAAGGUCGCCACUAACCUAUUCUAGACUAGUUUGGAUCCUAAUAAGAUACGAGAGAUGGCUAUAACUAGAUAUUCGAAUAGAGAUGUGCCUACACCAUUGAUACCUCUUUUCAAUCUAGAAAAAUAUUUCCAAACAUGAAAUUUACCAUAAAUUGACUAAUAGCGCCUCUCAAACAUUUUCAAACAGGAAAUGCCCAUAAACUAGGAAAAUGACCAAAAAAACCUUUAGAUCGAGAAAUUGAUUAAUAUGCGUUCUCAGACUUAACGGAAAUGCCCCUAAACUCAGCUUUAUGAGUGAAGUGACGAUAUUACUUGUACGUUGGACGUGAAAUGCAUCAUUUUUUGGAAGGCUACUUGUUUGGCAAAAACAAUUGCAGUUUCCUCCAUUUUUCCUUGCACGCUAGCUGUUAACAUUUUUAAAAAUGUUCAAAGCAUUUACAUAGUUCUAAUAGAGACGCUUCGAAACUGUAGCUGCCUAAGAUUUAUCAGUCAUCGCCUGUGGAAAACGUUUUAAUUGAUUAAAUUGCUGCAACCACAAGAUUUUUGUCAACGAACGGCUAAUUUGAUAUAAGAUACAAGUGACUGGAUGACAGUAAACCUCUUUGAUGAACGAAAUAUUGACAUGACAGCAGGUGAUACAUAAAUUGCACUACCUUACGGAAC
rnacentral:lncRNA from 1 species